UUUAUUGAGAGUUUGAUCCUGGCUCAGGACGAACGCUGGCGGCGUGCCUAACACAUGCAAGUCGAGCGAUGAAGUUUC
rnacentral:rRNA from 1 species